rnacentral:rRNA from 1 species
UACGUAGGGUGCGAGCGUUGUCCGGAAUUAUUGGGCGUAAAGAGCUUGUAGGUGAUUUGUCGCGUCUGCUGUGAAAAUCCGAGGCUCAACCUCGGACUUGCAGUGGGUACGGGCAGACUAGAGUGUGGUAGGGGGAGACUGGAAUUCCUGGUGUAGCGGUGGAAUGCGCAGAUAUCAGGAGGAACACCGAUGGCGAAGGCAGGUCUCUGGGCCA